CAAUAGUAUGAGGUAGGGGAAACUCCAGAGUUUCUAUAUAGGAAGGGACUGAAGCAGGAAUCUACCUAGAAGAGAAGCCUAGGGGACUUGACUUUUUUUUUUCUUGAUAUGAUUUGAAUGCCCCCUUCAAAACUCAUGUGGAAAUUUAAUUGCUAAUGUAAUGGUAUUGGGAGGUGGGCCCUUUAAGAGGUGAUUAGAUCACGAGGGCAGAGCCCCAUGAGUGGGUUCCUGAUAAAAGGAUAAGUUCAGCCUCCAUUUGCUCUCUGUUUCUAGUGUUCACUUCCACCUUCCACCCUUUCACUAUGAAGGACCCUCACCAGAUGGUGGCACCAUGCUCUCGGACUUCCCAGCCUCCAGAACUGGACGGGUAAAUUGAAGCAAAAAGCAGACAAGUUCUAUGGGAUUUGCUGGCAUUGAUUUCCCAGGAUGGCAAAGUGCUAAGAACUAAACCUUUAAAGCUAACAAAAUGUACUGAUGUCUUUGCAAAGUAUCCAAGACCAACAAGAAAGUAAUUUCCCACCUCACCCUACCACCACCCAGAAAAGGAGCACAGAGAUGGGGAAGAGAGUGGCUGCAUCUGGCAUCCAGCCAGAGGAGUCCGUGCAGGGAUUCUGGAUCCCUCUUCCCCCACCCCACUGCCCUUCCCCCUCCACCCCAGCGUUUUGGAGAAGCAAGAAACUGUGAUGAUGCAGCUCCCUCAAGUAUCACAUGAAGAUAGUGGAAAGAGCCUCCUGAGGUAAAUAUGCCAUGUAGACAGAAACAAGCAAUGGCUCAACAGCAAUGUAUGAGGUCCAAGGACCAGGACCAAAGGGAAAAACAGCCAUCUCACCAGACACCUGCCUACGACCAGAUGCGUCAUCUCCAAUAUUAGCUAACUCCCUGGAACCUGGACUCAAGGUGUGAAAUAAAGGUUAAUGGGAAACCGCAGGAGUCAAAAGGAGGGGGCAGGAUUAUUGAGGAUUCAGGCUGUUGAGAAAUGAAAGUUUGGAUCACUCCCCAGAUAAAGAACCUUGACCAUUUAAGGGCAAUGGAAAUACAGAAUAGGCAGUAGAAGAAGGAAGCCAUAGAUACCAACUAUGGCCUCUCAAUCAAUUACAAAACUGAGAAUUCUGACAGUUUUGUGUAUUUCCUCUUUGCAUGUGAUGUAUAUGUGUGUAUUUGUAUAUAUUAACCAUUUUCCUUUUUCUCUCUUCAUUAUUUUAUGAAAGUUGUUGAAUAUAAACUCUACAAUUUAGCCUUUAGGUAAGAGAAUAUUCAGUGGGACUUUGAUUUGAGGAGUAUUUAAGACAGCCAGAUGAGACUACGAUAACUGUUGGAACUGUGUGUCUCCUCAUUUGGGGAAAGGGGUGAGAACUCUGCAUUUCUCUGAAGAACAGAGUUGACUUUGUGUUAUACAGAGUUCAAAUAUAUAUAUAAAAUGGUGCAUGUGGAAGCUAAGAAGCCAAAGGAGUUCACCAAGACAGUUAUCAAUAUAUUGCCUCUCCGCUCCAAAUCCACCCUUCUUUGCCCUGUUCCACGAUACUAAUCUGGCUCCUCGGUCAGCCAGUGCAAUGUCAUCUGUUGCUGGUAGAGUGUAGGGGAGACACUACAAGGUAUAGUAAAGGGGUCAGAUGCGGUGUCUCAUGCCUGUAAUCACAGCCCUUUGGGAGGCAGAGGCAGGAGGAUCACCUGAGGCCAGGAGUUUGAGACCAGCCUGGACAACAUGGUAAAACCCCAUCUCUACUGAAAAUACAAAAUUAGCACGCACCUGUAAUCCCAGCUACUCGGGAGGCUGAGGCAGGAGAAUCACUUGAACCUGGGAGGUGGAGGUUGCAGUGAGCCAAGAUCGCAUCAUUGCACUCCAGCCAGGGAAAAAAGGCAAAACUCUGUCUCAAAAAAAUAAAUAAAUAAAAUAAAAUAAAACAAGGUAUAGCAAAUAAAGGAGCAUUCCUUCUUGAUUCUUCCUGGUUCUUGUUACCUGUGGCCGCCACCAGUGGUGUAUGGGAGAGUCACCCUACAGUGAGUUCCACCAGCACCUAGUGAGGGCUUCCUACUGAGUUUUAUUGUCACCCGAGCAGGCAAUUUCCUUGCCAGCAGUAUGCAGGAGACCCAAUGGUGACCACCUUCCAGUGGGUUUUUCCAGCACCCUAGAAGGCACUUUUUUGACCACAGUGCUGAUCCACUGGCACCCAACAGCCAGUACCCUACUCACCAGGCCUGGCCUGUGGCACCUCAAAGAACUUUUCUAUCCUGCGGGCCACAGCACCACCCUCUCCAACAAGGUCUGAAUCUCAGCCUUCAGGUGUGAAAGACCCUUCCAUGUUUGUUCUUUUCUUGGGUAUCCUCCCUCAGUCCUAGAAGUAGCAGCUCUUCCCUAUGUUUGCUAUUUCUGUGUUAUUUAGCAUACAAUUUACCCCUUUUGUAGUUUAUCACAUUUUGCCAGUUAAUAAUUCUUUAUAGUAAAUGUUCCCUCUUCAAAUUACUAUCUCUCACCAAACACUGACUUCUAUAUCCUCAUCAGACACUGAGUGACACAACCUCCUUCAGAAAAGAAUCCCUUUCACCCUGCCCUUCAUGAUGAACACUCUCAACAAAUUAGGUAUAGCAGGAACAUACCUUGACAUAAUAAAGGCCAUAUAUGACGAGCCCACAGCUAACAUCAUACUGAAUGGGGAAUAACUGAAAGCCUUUCCUCUAAGAACUAGAAUAAGACAAGGACACCUACUCUAAGCACUCUUAUUCGGCAUUAUACUGGAAGUCCUAGCCAGACUUUCUCUUUCCGGAAAGAGAAAGAAAUGAAAGGCAUCCAAACUGGAAAACAGGAUGCCAGCCAGUUGUGGUGGCUCAAGCCUGUAAUCCCAGCACUUCGGGAGGCUGAGGUGGGCAGAUUGCUUGAACCCAGGAGUUCAAAUCCAGACUAGACAACAUGAUGAAACCCUGUCUCUAUGAAAAAUACAAAAAUUAGCCAGGUGUGGUGGCACACACCUGUAGUCCCAACUACUCAGGAGGCUGAGGUGGGAGGAUCACUUGAGCCUGGGAAAUAGAGGAUGCAGUGAGUCAAGAUCACACCAGAGCACUCCAGCCUGGAUGACAGAGAGAGAUUCCAAUUCAAAAAAAAAAAAAAGGAAGAAGCCAAAUUGUCUCUACUUCAGAUGACAUGAUUUUACAAAUUCAGUAAUGUUACAAGACACAAAAUCAAUAUAAAAAAUCGGUUGUGUUUUUAUACACCAAUAACCAACUAUCUGAAAAAGAAACCAAGAAAGCAACCUCAUUUAUAACUUCAAAAAAGUCUCAGGGAUAAAUUUAGCCAAGGAGGUGAAAGAUUUCUAUGAAAGCCAAAACAAAACAAAACAAAAAACACUACACCCUGAUGAACAAAAUUGAAGAGGAUACCAAAAAUAGAAAGACAUAUUAUGCUCAUGAAUUGGAACAAUUAAUAUUGUUAAAAAUGACUAUACUACCCAAGGUAAGCUAUAGAUUUAAUGCAAUUCCUAUCAAGAUACUAAUGACAUUCUUUGAAUCAAUAGAAAAAACAAUCCUAGAAUUCACAUAGAACCAUAGAAGAGCCCAAAUAGCAGCAAUACUCAGCAAAAAGAACAAAGCUGAAGGCAAUCACACUAACACAUUUCAGAAUAUACUACAAAGCUAUAGCAACCAAAACACUAUGCUAUUGGUAUAAAAACAGAUACACAGACCAGUGGAACAGAACAGAGAAUCCAGAAAUAAAUUCACAUAUUUACAGCCAGCCAAUUUUUGACAAAGUUGCCAGGAACAUACACUGAGGAAAGGACAUUCUUUUCAAUAAAUUGUGCUAAGAAAACUGGAUAUUCACAUGCAGAAGAAUGAAACUAGACCUCUAUCUCUCACAAUGUAUAAAAAUCAAUUCAAAAUGGAUUAAAGACUUAAAUACAAGACCUGAAACUAUAAAACUACUAAAAGAAAACAUAGAGGAAAUGCUUCAAGAUAUUGAUCUAGGCAAAGAUUUUAUGGCUAAGAUCUCAAAAGCAGGGGCAACCAAAACAAAAAUAGACAAAUGGAACGACAUUAAACUAAAAAGCUUCUGCGCAGGAAAGGAAACAAUCAACAGAGUGAAGAGAUAACAUGAACAAUGGAGAAAAAAUUGCUAACUAUUCAUCCAACAAGGGACUAAUAUCCAGAAUAUACAUAGAACUCAAAACAAUUCGACAGCAAAGAAUCAAAUAAUCUCACUAAAAAGUGAGCAAAGGACAUGAAUAGACAUUUCUAAAAAGACAAAUGGCUAACAGGUUUAGGAAAAACUGCUCAACAUCACGGAUCAUCAGGAAAAUACAGAUCAAAACCACAAUGAGAUACCAUCUCACCCCAGUUAGAAUGGUUAUUAUCAAAGUCAAAAAAUAACACAUGCUGGUGAUUAUGUGGAGAAAAGGGAACUCUUUAUGCAUUGUUGGGAAUGUAGAUUAGUACAACGACUAUGGAAAACAGUAUGAAAGUGUCUUUAAAAACUAAAAAUAGAACUACCAUCUGACCCAGCAAUCCCACUACUGUCUCUCUGUCCAAAGGAAAGGAAAUCAAUAAAUCAAAGGGACAACUGUACCCCCAUAUUUAUUGCUGCUCUAUUCACAACAGCCAAGGUAUGAAAUCAACCUAAGUGUCCAUCAACAGAUGAAUGAAUAAAGAAAAUAUGGUAUAUAUACACAACAAAAUACUAUUCAGCCAUUAAAAAUGAAAUCUCAUCAUAUGCGGCAACAGGGAUGGAAUUGCAAGUCAUUAUGUUUAGUGAAAUAAACCAGGCACAGAAAAACAAGUAUCACAUGUUCCCACUCAUAUGUGGGAGCUAAAAAGUUGACCUCAUGGAGGUAGGGAAUAGAAUGAUAGAUACCAGAGGCUGGGAAAGGGCUGGGGGGAUGAGGACAGAUUGGUUAAUGGGUACAAACAUACAGUUAUGUGGAAGAAAUAAGUUCUAGUGUUUAAUAGCACAAUAGAGUGUCUAUAGUUAACAAAAAAUAUAUUGCAUAUUUCAAAAUAGCUGAAAGAGAAGUUCUGAAAUGUUCCAAACACAAAGAAAUAAAUGCUUGAGGUAAUGGAUUUUCUAAAUAUGCUGAUUUGAUCAUUAUAUACUGUAUGCAUGUAUCAAACUAUCACAUGUACCUGAUACAUAGCAAUAUUAUGUAUUAAUAAAAAUUAAUAAAUAAUAAGUAAUAAACUUUAAAAAUAAUGUCCUUUAGAAAAGUUCUAAUUUUUUCCACAAAAAUUGAUAGUGUUAAAAAAUUAUAGCACCUCAAAAAAGACCUUUCACAAAAUAGAUGCUCAAAAAAUUCAUUGAAUUUUUGCCAAAUAAUUAUAAUUGUAAAAUUUUCCUUUUUACAAGGCUGUGAAGAAAUUGGAAUCCUCAUGCCAUACUUACUGGUGAGAUUGUAAGAUGAUGCAGUCACUUUGCAAACAGUCUGGGAAUUCCUCAAAAUAUUAAACAUAGAGUCACCCUAUGACCCAGUAAUUCUAUUUCUAGAUAUGUACCCAAAAGAAAUGGAAACAUAAUGCCACACUAAAACUUGUUCACAAAUGUUCAUGGCAGCAUUGUUCAUAGUAGCCAAAAAGUGAAAACCAUCCAAAUAUUCAUCAAGUGAUGAAUGGAUAAAUAAAGAUGUGGAAUACACAUACAAUGGAAUAUUACUCAGCUAUAAAAGGGAAAGACACUUACAAAUGCUACAUGAUAAAUGUGAAAGCAUUAUACUAAGUGAAAGAAGCCAGAGCCAGUCACAAAAUACCACAUAUCGUAUGAUGCCAUUUAUAGGAAAUGUCUAGAAUAGACAAGUCUAUGAGGACAGAAAGUUGUUUAGUGGUUGCCUAGGACUGAGGGUACAGGGUGGCAAGAGGGAGCUGCCAGGAAUGCAACAUGCUAAUGAAUAUGAAGUUUCUUUUGGGGUUCUAACAUGUUCUAGAAUUAGAUGGUGGUGAUGUUUGCACAACUCUGUGGUUAUACUAAAUAAAUGAACUGUACACUUUAAAUAUAUCUAAAUGUAUGUAAAUUAUAUCAUAAUGUCUGGGUUUUAUUAAUUGCCUUUUAAAUGUGGCUUUAGUUCUGUCUGUAUACUUCAUGAAAUGUAUCAAAGUAAUGCUAAAAUAAAACCAAUAAUUAAACCCAAUGAAUCACAA
rnacentral:lncRNA from 10 species